CCUGGUUGAUCCUGCCAGUAGUCAUAUGCUUGUCUCAAAGAUUAAGCCAUGCAUGUCUAAGUACACACUUUGGUAAAGUGAAACCGCGAAUGGCUCAUUAAAUCAGCUACAAUUUAUUAGAUCGUACACUGUUACUUGGAUAACUGUGGGAAUUCUAGAGCUAAUACAUGCCGAGAGUCUCUGCUCUUCGGGGCAGAGCGCAGUUAUUAGACCAAAACCAGCCGCAUUCUUCGGGGUACGCUCUUUUGGUGACUCUGGAUAACCUUCAGCCGAUCGCAUGGCCUCGUGCCGGCGACGUAUCUUUCAAGUGUCUGCCCUAUCAACUUUCGAUGGUACGUGAUAUGCCUACCAUGGUGAUAACGGGUAACGGGGAAUCAGGGUUCGAUUCCGGAGAGGGAGCCUGAGAAAUGGCUACCACAUCCAAGGAUGGCAGCAGGCGCGCAAAUUACCCACUCCCAGCUUGGGGAGGUAGUGACGAAAAAUAACAAUGCGGGACUCUAAGAGGCCCCGUAAUUGGAAUGAGUACACCUUAAAUCGUUUAACGAGUAUCAAUUGGAGGGCAAGUCUGGUGCCAGCAGCCGCGGUAAUUCCAGCUCCAAUAGCGUAUAUUAAAGUUGCUGCAGUUAAAAAGCUCGUAGUUGGAUCUGGGGCUUGAGGUCGCUGUCUAUCGUUUCGGCGAUGACGGUGAUGCUCAGCUCUGCUUGCCGGUGACUGUUGCGGUGUUCUUCACUGAGCGCUGUAGCAGCACGGCACGUUUACUUUGAAAAAAUUAGAGUGCUCAAAGCGUGCUUGUCUCUUGAAUAAUGUUGCAUGGAAUAAUGGAAUAGGACCUCGGUUCUAUUUUGUUGGUUUUCGGAGCUUGAGGUAAUGAUUAAGAGGGACGAACGGGGGCAUUCGUAUUGCGGUGUUGGAGGUGGAAUUCUUGGAUCGCCGCAAGACGGACUACUGCGAAAGCAUUUGCCAAGAACGCUUUCAUUAAUUAAGAACGAAAGUCAGAGGUUCGAAGACGAUCAGACACCGUCCUAGUUCUGACCAUAAACGAUGCCGACCAGCGAUCCGUAGUGGUUGCUUUAUGGACCCUACGGGCAGCCUCCGGGAAACCAAAGUAUUUGGGUUCCGGGGGAAGUAUGGUUGCAAAGCUGAAACUUAAAGGAAUUGACGGAAGGGCACACCAGGAGUGGAGCCUGCGGCUUAAUUUGACCCAACACGGGAAAACUCACCCGGUCCGGACACCGUAAGGAUUGACAGACUGAUGGCUCUUUCUUCAUUCGGUGGAUGGUGGUGCAUGGCCGUUCUUAGUUGGUGGAGUGAUUUGUCUGGUUAAUUCCGAUAACGAACGAGACUCUAGCCUGCUAAGUAGUGUUGCUAUUGUUAUAUGGUUGACACUUCUUAGAGGGACAA
rnacentral:rRNA from 1 species